AUUGAACGCUAGCGGGAUGCCUUACACAUGCAAGUCGAACGGCAGCGCGGACUUCGGUCUGGCGGCGAGUGGCGAACGGGUGAGUAAUGUAUCGGAACGUGCCCAGUAGCGGGGGAUAACUACUCGAAAGAGUAGCUAAUACCGCAUACGCCCUACGGGGGAAAGGGGGGGAUCGCAAGACCUCUCACUAUUGGAGCGGCCGAUAUCGGAUUAGCUAGUUGGUGAGGUAAAGGCUCACCAAGGCGACGAUCCGGAGCUGGUUUGAGAGGACGACCAGCCACACUGGGACUGAGACACGGCCCAGACUCCUACGGGAGGCAGCAGUGGGGAAUUUUGGACAAUGGGGGCAACCCUGAUCCGGCCAUUCCGCGUGUGCGAUGAAGGCCUUCGGGUUGUAAAGCACUUUUGGCAGGAAAGAAAUCGCACGGAUUAAUACUCUGUGUGGAUGACGGUACCUGCAGAAUAAGCACCGGCUAACUACGUGCCAGCCGCCGCAGUAA
rnacentral:rRNA from 1 species